UGAAAUUGCAGCCAGGAGACCCAGAGAAAAAUAUCCAGACUACAGUUGAAAAAGCCUCUUCCAGUGAAAAUUUUGUUGAGGAACAGAGGAAAGUUUCUUCUGUUUAUGCUUCCCUAGGUCCACAUACAAGUAAAAUUGAGAGGUCACCUCAAAAGAGGAUUGAUGACUGUCAUGGAAGAUCUAAGCCAAGUCCUGUCCAAGACAUCCAGAACUCAUCAAAAGAAAAAGGACAAGGAGAAGUUGCUGCUGUAGAUGUGCACCAUUCAGAUAAUAAUAAUCGAAAGCAGCAGAGUCCAAAUUCUGUAAAGUUGGAGAGAAAAAUAUGGAGCACACAUCAGAAUAUCUUAUGGAAGUAACCUAGAAAAUGAAGGGAUUGAAGGUGGCAAGAUAUUGAUGAAUUGGACUGAUAUUCCUCUCAAACUAUCAGCAGAUACAAACCAGCUAUUGUCUCCAUGUUCCGAUAAACUAAAUAUAAAAAUG